AUUUGUACAAAUCUACAAGGGAAGCUAAGCACUUUCAGCGUAAUGUUGUACGCGGAGUUAAAAGAUUUAUUUCUACAAGCUGCAAGCAAAUGGAGAUAGGUGAGAAUAGUUUUCUUGUCUGCUUAAUGUGUUCCUUUUACAAGGAUAGCAUAUAAGUUCCGCCUUAAAUAAUUUAGUGAGGAAGCUGGCUGAAGAUUGCUAUAAAUAUGGAUCUGAGAAUCAGAGCACUCACACUCCUUUUGCAAGAGCUUCUCUUAGCUUUGGUACCUCCUAUAAUGCAAUUGAAAAGGAGAGGGAAGAUUUUCUUAAGAUCCUCAGUGAUCAGGUUUGUGAGCCAUUACGGACACAAAUAAAUGGAGCUCCUUUGGAAGAUGCUUGUCACUUGGCUUACCGUUAUGAUAAACUUGGCCAGGAUGUGGAGGCCCAGGU